GUUUCAUUGAAACAAAAGUCACACAGAAGAGGAGAAGAAGGAAGAGAAGCAAAAUACUCUGAGGUUUCCUUGGAACAAAACCCUGGAGGAAAAAGAAAGUGAGAGAAGAGUCAACAGAGUUCAGAGCAACCUCCGGACACUGAAGGGAACUCAUUGGCAAAGAACCAGUUCUACCUCAUAUAAACCCUGAGAUUGUUCUGCAAACCCCGGUGCAAUCCAAUUUCAAUCAAGCUCUCCAAUCAGGUUUGCCCUAUAUCCAUCAUCUCUAUGCUUUCAAUUUGAAUUUUCUGAAUGUAUGAGGUAUUAUGGGUGAAUUUGAUACCCUUUUGAUGCAUAUGUUUAACAAGAGGUUUAG
rnacentral:lncRNA from 1 species